ACUCCUACGGAAGGCAGCAGUGGGGAAUUUUGGACAAUGGGCGCAAGCCUGAUCCAGCCAUUCCGCGUGCAGGAUGAAGGCCUUCGGGUUGUAAACUGCUUUUGUACGGAACGAAACGGUUCUCUCUAAUACAGGGGGGCUAAUGACGGUACCGUAAGAAUAAGCACCGGCUAACUACGUGCCAGCAGCCGCGGUAAU
rnacentral:rRNA from 1 species